rnacentral:rRNA from 1 species
ACGGGAGGCAGCAGUAGGGAAUCUUCCGCAAUGGACGAAAGUCUGACGGAGCAACGCCGCGUGAGUGAUGAAGGUUUUCGGAUCGUAAAGCUCUGUUGUUAGGGAAGAACAAGUGCGAGAGUAACUGCUCGCACCUUGACGAUACCUAACCAGAAAGCCACGGCUAACUACGUGCCAGCAGCCGCGGUAAUACGUAGGUGGCAAGCGUUGUCCAGAAUUAUUGGGCGUAAAGGGCUCGCAGGCGGUUUCUUAAGUCUGAUGUGAAAGCCCCCGGCUCAACCGGGGAGAGUCAUUGGAAACUGGGAAACUUGAGUGCAGAAGAGGAGAGUGGAAUUCCACGUGUAGCGGUGAAAUGCGUAGAGAUGUGGAGGAACACCAGUGGCGAAGGCGACUCUCUGGUCUGUAACUGACGCUGAGGAGCGAAAGCGUGGGGAGCGAACAGGAUUAGAUACCCUGGUAGUCCACGCCGUAAACGAUGAGUGCUAAGUGUUAGGGGAUUUCCGCCCCUUAGUGCUGCAGCUAACGCAUUAAGCACUCCGCCUGGGGAGUACGGUCGCAAGACUGAAACUCAAAGGAAUUGAC